AAAGAAUUUUGAUGGUCCUUUUGGAUGCUAACGCAAUGUGAUUUAUUCCCAGUGCUCUGAAUUUUAAAGUGAAGAAAUUCAACCAAGAACGGGUAAACGACGGGAGUAACUAUGACUCUCUUAGGGUAACCACAUGCCUCAUCAUCUAAUUAGAGAUGCACAUGAAUGGAUUAGCUAGAUUCCCACUAUACCUAUAUGUUAUCUAGUGAAACCACAACCAAGGAAAUGGGAUUGG
rnacentral:ncRNA from 1 species